AACGCGGACAACAUCAUAGGAUACAUUUCUGGGAAAAUCCGAAAGAGUUUCAUUAGGAUAUUGCCUGGGGACAGAGUCAAAGUUGAGGUUUGUUACUGGAAUUAUAAUGGUUGCUGCAGUUUCAAAUGUACAA